CAUAAAAGAAAAGAAAUUUGAUUGGCACUUCCACGAAGAAUGAUUCGUUAAAAGCGAAACACUGAAUGGGUCAGCUAAAACACUGUAUAAAUAUAUAAGUAGGCCAGCCAGGGAAGAUUUUUAUCUGAAAAAUUAAGCUUACCCCUUCAAUUAUAUUAUUUAAUAAAUAAUCUUAUUAUGAAAUAAUGUACAUGUUAUCACCAUCAUGGCAUGGCAUAAACUUUACCUAUAAAUAGAGGUAUGAGAAAGUCUCUCUUACACCAUCCAAACUAGAUUCUUAUCAACAGCUUCUACACAUAUAUCCCAAUCCUCACCAUAUCUCUCUCUUUCUCUCUUUCUCUCUUUCUCUCUUUCUCUCUCUAGCUAUCUGUCUAGAUCUCAAGAUCAACCGGCAAUUGAAUUUGGUAACUUUACUGAUGUACAUACUAUAUGUGUUCUAUAUAGAUAUAUCUAUAAAGUUAGCUUUUUUUUUUGUUUAAAAAUAAAAUCAUAUGGUUGAGGAGGCAGCUGAUGUUGUUGACAGAAGAUAGAGAGCACAGAUGACCGAAUGCGUAGCAGCAUCUCACUCCUUUGUGCUCUCUAUUCUUCUGUCAUCACCUCUCGAUAUCAGCAGAUACAGCCAUGUCUCUUUCUCUCUUUCUCUCUUUCUCUCUCUCCAUAUGAAUCUAUUAUUAUUGUAACACAUAAAGAAUACCUAAAUUAGAAAAAAAGACUGAAAUUGUUUCUUGAUCUGAUCUUCUUUCCCCUUUCCCCCCUCUUAAUCACUAUCAUGUUUCAUGAUUUUUCGAGGCAUGCAAUUUAAUUUGUUUUAUUUCAUAUAUCUCUCUUUGUUUUUAUGGAAUCAAUUUCGGAAUUUCAUUAAGUAAUUUUUUAUUGGUUUGUUAAUAAAUAACGACUCUACAAUUCAAAACCACUCUACUGCUUGUGUUCUGAUUCUGAACAUAUUACAAGUACAACUGUUUAUUGUCGAGUGAAUUUCGUAUUUGACAAAUUGUGUUCUUUAAUUUCUGUUUUAACUGUAGGCGGUUUUGUGUGUGUGAAAGAGAAUGUUAAAAUAUGAUCCUACUUUUCUUGUUCACUCAUUUACACUUAGCAUGUCAAGUUAAAUAAACAAAUUGUAGUUCAAGGUAAUAUACUAUGUAUUGAUUGAUCAUUUGCCCAGAUCUUCUAUAUGUUUAAGUUGAUUAUUUCAUGGUUCAAGCUAGCUAUAUAUUGUGGUGUGUUUCCAUUUUGACAUAUGCUAAUUAAUGAUUCUAGUACAUGUGCAUUUCGCUAGGGCAUCGAUUAUAAUUUCAAUAUAUAUUAUUGUAUAAAUAUAUACUUCUUUAUUAAUUAAAUCAUGGCUCUUAAUUUAUUAUGUCUACAAGUUUAAAAAGUUAUAUAUGUGGGUAGUUAUAAUUUUUAAUUACUAUCUAUGGCUUGUUUUUGUAGAUUUGGUACAUGGUACAACUUAUUUUUUUUCUCCUAAAUUUAUUAUGAGUUAUAUAAGUUUAGUUAGGAGACCUGUCACAAAUUUUGUAGAAAUUUAGGAUAAUUUAGAUUAUCAAAAUAAUUUCAUCAAAAAAAAAAAAAAAAUAGGUUAUCAAAAUAAUUAGGAUAAAACUUCUUGUUUAAUUAUUUUGGUAUUUUUAUGCAUUUAUAACAAUGUCUUUCUUUUUGUCGGCUAUAACAAGGUAUUUGAAUCUUUAUUUAGACAUUGUACAUAACUAUUUGAUAUUUUCUUAAAUUUGUGGGAGAUAACUUUUAACAAUAUAUAUUGUAUGUACACCAUACCAUAUAACAAAAUAGCUAGACGUGAAGUACUUAUUCAUAUAUUGUAUAAAUUAAAACUAUCAAAUUAUACCUAUGUAUAUACCACCACUAUAUAGUACUGGUUAUAUAAAAUAAAAUAGGGUUGUUAUUAUGCAUGGUACUAUAAUAAUAAGCCUAUGUAGCUAAUAACAUUAUUCCUCCCAUUAACAUUAGUGUAGUAAUAAGUUUUGUUAAAGAUAUAGUUCUUUUUUUAUAUAGACUAAACCACACCAAAUUAUCAUUUAUAUAUUUAAUUACCGAAACUUUAGCAAGGAGUUAAAUAAGUUAGUAGCUACUAAUAAGUCUAAUAUAAAUCUCAAAAUUUACUCACACAUGAGAUCAAUGUUGGAGAAACAAACAAUUUUCUUUUUUUUUUUCCUUCUUUUUUUGGAUAUAUUUAAUAACACCAAACUAUCAUUUAUUUAAUUCCUCCAUUCAGGCUAUAGGUAAUAGUUUCUGUUGAUUGGAUUUUAACACCAUAUAUAUGCAUGUAAAUAUAAGAAUUCGUAUCUUUAAAUUGACAUGCAUGUGGUACAUAUAUAUGUUAAAAUUUGUGGAGUCAUGCAUAUCCAUGUCACCACAUUCUAAAAUUCACUGGCUGGUUUGACUAGGUUAAGCUUAUAAUUAACAGUUUUUUAAAGCAAAGGUAGUGUUGUGCUUGCUGCUGAAGAUAGCAAUAAGUUUCACAAAUAGGGGGCUCCUCUCUGUUGAAGUGGCCAAAUUACUGGUUAUUAAAAAGGGGAUGGAGCUUCCUCUUCGUUUUGAAUUUCAAAGGCUUCCACAGGUGAUAUUAACAAUUCGAGAAGUUGUUAGUAAUCGAAAGAGUUGAAGGAGUCUGAUAUGUUUAAUCAUUGUUCUAAGUUCUUCCACUAUGUUGCAGCUGGGACUCAUAUUGCCCAUCAUAUAUUCAGUAUCUCAAUUUAUUGCAUGCCUUAAACAAUUGUCUUAUGUGUGUUCUGGCUUCUGUAAUUAUUGAUGCAAAUUUGCCGAUCCUUAUAUGAUGAUCUUUGCUUCGUUCAAUGAAGUUGUGGACACAUUACAUUUACCAUUAAACCAACGAUGCCUCUUCUCACAGUAGUAUAGUGGUAUGUUGGAAAUCUGGAUAAUUAAUCCACCUAAUCACAUCUGUCUGUUAUUAUUUAUCGCAUCCAUCCAGUAAAGUAGGAUAAAUAAUCUCAUACAUCUACCGUACCUAGAAUUUUCAAUGACUUCACGAUGAGGACACCUUCUUUCAAUACCAAGUAUAGUAGAUUGCAUAUCUUUAGCAUCGUUUAGCCAGCAGCUCCUCACCAAACAAGUUGGGAAAUUCAUUAUCUCCAAAUUCUUUAAUGAAAGAAAAAUAUGUCUGCAUGGGAUUCCUUUUGUCUCAAACCAAUAGUAAUCACAUCGUACAUUCUCAUGGUCAUUAGAAGUAAGAACAUUACCCUUUACUCCAUUUUCACCUUUCAUGUAUUUUUUGACCAAAGAGUAUACCUGUUGGAAAUUAUUUUACCAAGAUCUUAGAUCUACUCACAAGUAUGUUGAUUUAACAACCUAAAUAUGAACUUCUAAAACGAUAGAAAAUUAAACACAUAAAAGUAAGAGAAAUCUUACGUUGGGUUCAGCGGAAUAUAUGUCUCCUCCAACUCAGAUCUCUAACCCUUGAUUCCUUUCU